GACGAACCGUGCGAACGUUGUUCGGAAUCACUGGGCUUAAAGGGCGCGUAGGCGGGCUCGCAAGUCAGGGGUGAAAUCCCACGGCUCAACCGUGGAAGUGCCUUUGAUACUGCGGGCCUGGAGGGAGGUAGGGGCGUGCGGAACUUCCGGUGGAGCGGUGAAAUGCGUAGAUAUCGGAAGGAACACCGGUGGCGAAAGCGGCGCGCUGGACCUCUUCUGACGCUGAGGCGCGAAAGCCAGGGGAGCAAACGGG
rnacentral:rRNA from 1 species